GGAGCAUCGUGAACGCCCUUAUGGGACGGAGGGAGUAGCUAGGUUUCCAAGACCCAACAACAGCUAGGCCAACACACAACCAGCCCAGCUGGUCCAUAUCCAGUAGUAACAGAACUAGAAGAAGAAGAAGAAGGCCCACGAGGAUAUCUCGGCCCAAAACUACGAUCCUUUUAUUUUCCUGAUAAAAAAAGUCGGGCUUCAGGCCCAGCAACAGCAAGCGAAGCGUAUGCACCCAGUAUUAUUCGACGGUUUCACUUCUCCGUAUGCAUCGUCACUGGACUAGAUUCGAUUCCAUGGGAGUUACUGCCGCUAAAAGGGGAAAAGAAAACAACAUUUCUGACUAUCAAAUCAUGGAGAUUUUGCAGAGUUAAAUUCUUCAACAACCAGCCUUUGCCAGCCUCCAGAGUCCACACAACACUUUGAGGAAGAAGAAGAGGUAGAUUACAGAUUUGAUCAGUUAGGAGGAACAUACAUCCAGUCAGCCCAAUGAUGCCUCCGAAGUUGCACAACACCAACAUAAGGACUACAGGAGGCAACAAAACAAAGCCCAAGCAGGAGAACCACUCAUUCUUGCAGAGCAGAGUUGUGUUUUCAGGGGACACCAUUUCUUAAUUUGUUCCGUCAACAACAGCGGCAGGUUUCGAUGAAGGAUAGCUCAUUCUUUUGCAUGAUAAUGAAACAAUCUGUAUUUUGUCAGUCCAGUGGCUGCUUAU